GGGCGCUUAGCUCAGCGGUAGAGCACUACCUUGACAUGGUAGGGGUCACAGGUUCGAUCCCUGUAGCGCCCACCA
rnacentral:tRNA from 1 species